GUAAAAGAUCAAUAACAGUCUCAAAAAAAAACUUUCUUCACUUUUGAAUGACAAAAACAAAAAGAACCAAAAAGUAAAGUCUUUCAAAAGAUUACAACCCCAAUGAAUUAUUUAUAUAGAAAAACAGAGCACACUCAACAAUAUUUCAACAUUGAAAUGAAGAAAUAAAGCAUAUUAUUUCAAAAGCUUAUCAAAGAAGGGGAUAAGGGUUUGAGCCAUGGUAAAUGAAAAAACAAGCUUAGGACCAGUUGUCAACAAUUUGGGAGUCAACCCUUUAAAGAACGAGGUAGGUCCUUCGAAUUUAAGCAUAUUUUUCAAAAUAGUAAACCCGGAUUGAGGGUUAUCAAAAUUCUUAUUUUGAAUACGAGUUUUAAUAACAUCGAGAGGGGCAGAGACAAUCAAACUAGCAGAAGCACCAGCGAUUGAGGUGAAAAAAUUUUGAAAAAAAGUGGCUUGAGAGUAAUCCUUUAGUUUAAAUAUGUACUCCUUAGCAAAAGCGUUACCACCAAAGAGUGCAAAAGAACCUGGGGCAUUGCGGGCGGCAGUCCAUCCCCAUCCACGAUACAACGCAAAUUUCUCAUCAGCGAGAAUUCUGAAAACACCGCGACCUUUAAAAGCUGCAGGAUUGGUUUGGCGCUUAAUUUUCAGGACGUCUAAGGGAAGGAGGAAGAU